GACGUAGGGCGCAAGCGUUGUCCGGAAUUAUUGGGCGUAAAGAGCUCGUAGGCGGUUUGUCGCGUCUGCCGUGAAAGUCCGGGGCUCAACUCCGGAUCUGCGGUGGGUACGGGCAGACUAGAGUGAUGUAGGGGAGACUGGAAUUCCUGGUGUAGCGGUGAAAUGCGCAGAUAUCAGGAGGAACACCGAUGGCGAAGGCAGGUCUCUGGGCAUUAACUGACGCUGAGGAGCGAAAGCAUGGGGAGCGAACAGG
rnacentral:rRNA from 1 species